rnacentral:rRNA from 1 species
CCAUGCCGCGUGUGUGAAGAAGGCCUUCGGGUUGUAAAGCACUUUCGGACGGAACGAAAUCGCGCGGGUGAACAAUCCGCGUGGAUGACGGUACCGUAAGAAGAAGCACCGGCUAACUACGUGCCAGCAGCCGCGGUAAUACGUAGGGUGCAAGCGUUAAUCGGAAUUACUGGGCGUAAAGGGUGCGCAGGCGGCCUCGCAUGUCAGGCGUGAAAUCCCCGGGCUUAACUUGGGAAUGGCGCUUGAAACUACGAGGCUGGAGUGUGGCAGAGGGAGGUGGAAUUCCACGUGUAGCGGUGAAAUGCGUAGAGAUGUGGAGGAACACCGAUGGCGAAGGCAGCCUCCUGGGCCAACACUGACGCUCAUGCACGAAAGCGUGGGGAGCAAACAGGAUUAGAUACCCUGGUAGUCCACGCCCUAAACGAUGACGACUAGUUGUUGGGGGAGUUAAAUCCCUUAGUAACGCAGCUAACGCGUGAAGUCGUCCGCCUGGGGAGUACGGUCGCAAGAUUA